rnacentral:rRNA from 1 species
CUACGGGUGGCUGCAGUAGGGAAUAUUGCACAAUGGGCGAAAGCCUGAUGCAGCAACGCCGCGUGCGCGAUGAAGGCCUUCGGGUUGUAAAGCGCUUUUCUGAGGGAAGAGGAAGGACUGUACCUCAGGAAUAAGUCUCGGCUAACUACGUGCCAGCAGCCGCGGUAACACGUAGGAGGCAAGCGUUAUCCGGAUUUACUGGGCGUAAAGCGCGUGUAGGCGGUUUGGCAAGUCGGAUGUGAAAGCUCCUGGCUCAACUGGGAGAGGUCGUUCGAAACUGCCAGACUAGAGGACGGUAGAGGAAGAUGGAAUUCCCGGUGUAGUAGUGAAAUGCGUAGAUAUCGGGAGGAACACCAGUGGCGAAGGCGGUCUUCUGGGCCGUUCCUGACGCUGAGACGCGAAAGCAUGGGUAGCGAACGGGAUUAGAUACCCCCGUAGUC